AUGAUAAUCAUCGUGUUCUUCAUGCUAUCCAUAGAUCACUACACGAAAAAACAUAUUCUACCUUGUGUUUCUCGAUACGUGAGUGUAAAUUAUUGGUCACUUGGCUUACGCCACUGUACACCGUGUGUGAACCUGCGGUGCACUUUAACAUGUGCCUCAACGUACUGCCAUGUACGACGUGACACCCCUCAAAAACACUCUGGCCUUCAGGGAUUAAAGCCGAGUGUUUUAGAGGCCCGCACGGUUAGUGUAAAUUGGUCACUUGGCUUACGGCACUGUACACCGUGUGUGAACCGGCGGUGCACUUUGACAUGUGCCUCAGUGUACUGCCACGUACGGCGUGACACCCGUCAAAAACUCUCGGCCUUUAGGGGUUAA
rnacentral:rRNA from 1 species